ensembl:lncRNA novel transcript, antisense to CMYA5
CAGCCUGGGUCCUAGAGUGAGGAUGACAUGAGACAGAGCCACAGCCAACCCACAAUGGACGUAUGGCAAAAGGUCUCAUUCUGAUACCCAGGCUGGAUUCCAGUGGCACGAACAUGGGACUACAGAGCUGCUUCCAACCUGACGGCAGAUGCUGCUGGCACUUGGUCCCCUUCACCCGCGGCUAGCGAGGGUGCAUGCGCAGUUGCAUUAGACAGUUUUCGACAUACCUUCUCAGAUGGAGUCUUACUCUGUCACCCAGGCUGGAGUCCAGUGGCAUGACCUCAGCUCAUUGCAACCUCUGCCCCACCCGGGUUCAAGCGAUUCUCCUGCCUCAGCCUCCUGAGUAGCUGGGAUUACAGGAGAGACAGAACAGCUGAGGAAACAGCAGAACGGUGGAAAAUUUUUGAAAGUGUUUUGAGCCCACCCAACCUGAGGAGAGCAUUCAAAGAAAAACAGGAAG